rnacentral:rRNA from 1 species
UACGUAGGGGGCAAGCGUUGUCCGGAUUUAUUGGGCGUAAAGCGCUCGCAGGUGGUUCGUCGCGUCGUGCGUGAAAGACCCCGGCCCAACUGGGGGGUGUCGUGCGAUACGGGCGGACUGGAGGCCAGUAGGGGGAUGCGGAAUUCCGGGUGUAGUGGUGGAAUGCGUAGAGAUCCGGAGGAACACCAGCGGCGAAGGCGGCAUCCUGGACUGGUCCUGACACUCAUGAGCGAAAGCGUGGGGAGCGAUCCGG